rnacentral:rRNA from 1 species
CAGUCGCCACGGUAAUACGAGGGGGGCAAGCGUUGCUCGGAAUUAUUGGGCGUAAAGGGUGCGUAGGCGGCUUGACAAGUCUUGUGUGAAAUCUAUGGGCUCAACCCAUAGUCUGCACGGGAAACUGUCGGGCUUGAGAAUGGGAGAGGUGAGUGGAAUUUCCGGUGUAGCGGUGAAAUGCGUAGAUAUCGGAAGGAACACCUGUGGCGAAAGCGGCUCACUGGACCAUUUCUGACGCUGAUGCACGAAAGCUAGGGGAGCAAACAGGAUUAGAUACCCCCGUAGUCCCUGUCUCUUAUAC